AAUAAUACCGUUCUUAAAUAGGCAGGGGUAGGAUUGUUUGAGGAACGAUUUCAGGGGAAUUAUUAUACGCACGUCGAAGGCGACGUUCAGUCGCAAACUGCGAUUCUUCCGCGACUACAAUAUUAUUGUCGUCGACCAACCCGUUAAGAUACAAACAGAUACACCUAUACUAUAGUUUUACUUUUGCCAUAUAGCCAUAUACUUUUUUUACGUCUCGAGGUUUUUUUUUUUUUACUAUAGAAGAUUGCCACUCGCGUAUAAAUCGACCGACCGGAUUUCGGGUUUCGUUCAAACGACGACGUACAAAGCUCGGCGUAUUCGGCAUAAAACCGCCGAGUACCUUCAGUAUAUAGAAUAAUAUCGCAAACUCGAGACGCGUCUAUUAAGCGGACGAUAAAAGCUUCUGUUUUUCACAGGCAACCGUAUAUAUUCGGGUAUAUAAUAAUAAUAAUACACACG